rnacentral:rRNA from 1 species
UACGGAGGAUGCGAGCGUUAUCCGGAUUUAUUGGGUUUAAAGGGUGCGCAGGCGGUGCGCCAAGUCUGAUGUGAAACCCCGGGGCUCAACCCCGGGCAUGCAUUGGAAACUGGCGGGCUGGAGUGCCGGAGAGGUAAGCGGAAUUCCUAGUGUAGCGGUGAAAUGCGUAGAUAUUAGGAGGAACACCAGUGGCGAAGGCGGCUUACUGGACGGCAACUGACGCUGAGGCUCGAAAGCGUGGGGAGCAAACAGG